CCUACGGGAGGCAGCAGUGGGGAAUAUUGGACAAUGGGGGGAACCCUGAUCCAGCGACGCCGCGUGAGUGAAGAAGUAUUUCGGUAUGUAAAGCUCUAUCAGCCGGGAAGAAAAUGACGGUACCUGACUAAGCAGCCCCGGCUAACUACGUGCCAGCAUCCGCGGUAAUACGUAGGGGGCAAGCGUUAACCGGCUUUACUGGGUGUAAAGGCAGCGUAGACGGUGCAGUAAGGCCGAGGUGAAAGGUCGGGGCCCAACCCCGGGACUGCAUUGGAAACUGUUGAACUGGAGUAGAGGAGAGGUAAGCGGAAUUCGUGGUGGAGCGGUGAAAUGUGGAGAUAUUAGGAGGAACA
rnacentral:rRNA from 1 species